CUAAAAACCUAGCCCAACAAACAUGAAUUUUACUAAAUUAACUAAAACCUCUUAACAAACCAUUUUAACAUUCUAGUAAAGGAGAUUGAAAAAACUUAUUUGGAGCUAUAAAAACAGUACCGCAAGGGAACGGUGAAAUAUUAUGAAAAACUUCAAGCAGCAAAAAGUAAAGAUUACCUCUUGUACCUUUCGCAUCAUGGUUUAACUAGUCUAACCAAGCAAAACGUAUUUAAGUUUGACUUCCCGAAACUAAGUGAGCUACUUCAGGGCAGCUAGAAGAGCAAACCCGUCUCUGUAGCAAAAGAGUGGGACGACCCUCAAGUAGUGGUGACAGACCUAACGAACUUAGUGAUAGCUGGUUGCUCAAGAAACGGAUUUAAGUCCAACCUGAAAGUUUUAUAACCUAAGUUCAUCAAAACAAUCACCUAGCUUUCAGCGUAAUUCAAAUAAGGUACAGCCUAUUUGAAACAGGAUACAACCUAGCCUAAUGGAUAAGAUCAGCCUAACAUACAAUCAAGUGGGCCUAAAAGCAGCCACCUUUAAUACAGCGUCAAAGCUAAAUUGUAACCGAGCCCAAUUACUUAACCCAUAUCUUAAUCCCCUGCCAAUACUGAGUAAUUCUAUAAUAUUAUAGAAAUUUUUAUGUUAAAACUAGUAACAAGAAGAAGACUCUUCUCUUAAAUGUACGUAUAAAUCAGAAAAGACAAGCUACUGAUACUUAACACCUCUGAGCAUAAAGUAGUAACUAACCAAGAAAACUCUACUUUUACUGGUGUUAAUCUAACACAAGAACAUUCUAAGAAAGAU
rnacentral:rRNA from 1 species